rnacentral:ncRNA from 2 species
UAUACAUAUGUAAAGAUAGGUGUCUUUCAAUGUUUAAAGACUUAAAAGGGAAGUUGGUGUAAUUCCAACGCGGUCCCGCCACUGUAAAUGGGAGCAUACUGCAAUGGCCACUGUACGAGGAUGUAUGGGAAGGAGCAGUAAAGCAAUGACCAUGAGCCAGGAGACCUGCCUGAUCUUUUUGCGCCAC